GAUGAACGCUAGCUCCAGGCUUAACACAUGCAAGUCGCGGGGCAGCAUGGGGGUUGCUUGCCAUCCCCGAUGGCGACCGGCGCACGGGUGAGUAACGCGUAUCCAACCUGCCCUUCACCACGGGAUAACCCGGCGAAAGUCGGACUAAUACCGUAUGUUGUCCAUUGACGGCAUCCGAUUUGGACGAAAGGCUUGGCGGUGAGGGAUGGGGAUGCGUCCGAUUAGCCAGACGGCGGGGUAACGGCCCACCGUGGCUACGAUCGGUAGGGGUUCUGAGAGGAAGGUCCCCCACACUGGAACUGAGACACGGUCCAGACUCCUACGGGAGGCAGCAGUGAGGAAUAUUGGUCAAUGGGCGUAAGCCUGAACCAGCCAAGUAGCGUGCAGGAUGACGGCCCUAUGGGUUGUAAACUGCUUUUAUGCGGGGAUAAAGUGGCCCACGUGUGGGCUUUUGCAGGUACCGCAUGAAUAAGGACCGGCUAAUUCCGUG
rnacentral:rRNA from 1 species